CGAUAAGUGGAUGGACGCGAA
rnacentral:siRNA from 1 species